UGUCAAGUCAUGUUCAGAAUAACUCUUCAUGACCUGUUUGGGGCAAAUGCAACUGAUUUAUGACUCCGCUGCCUUUUGGUUGGUUGGCAAAGCACUGCCUGGCCCGGGGAGGCUUUCCUCUGCUUGUUUACCCAGAGUGAUUUAGGAGCAGCAGGGCCAAGAAGGUUUCCCUAUUCCUCCAGCCCCAGAACCGACCUCGCGGCCCCUGCCCUCAGGGCUCACACCCUGGCUGGGGCUCGGCCUCAUAUUUUACACAGAGUGGCAGUUGUCCUUUGGAUGCCCUGGGCCACAUCACUCACGUCCUCUGGCCUGUAGCCCUUUAAGAAGCCCCCAGGGAGAUUUCCCGGGGAGGCCUGUCCCACUGACGGCUGCCUACAGCCCAGCCUCCUCCUCUUCUUCUCGGGCUUGGGCUCUUCUCUUGCUGGGGGGCCUGAGGCAGAGAUGGAUGAAUUAUUAAUAUCGAUUCUGAUGGGUUAGCUCUUCCCAGAGUCUGAGCACAGCCAGGGCCUGCAAUAUAGAGGAAGGAACUGCUGGUAUAUGCAACGUGAGUGAACCUCAAAAUAAUGAUGCUGCGUGAAAGCACCCAGCCAACCCAGAGUUCAUACUGCAUGACUCCAUUUACAUUAAACUCUAGGAGAUGUGAGCUCAGCCCUGGUGCCAGAAAGCAGAUGAAAGGUUGCCUGCAGACAGGGAAGGAGGAAGGGCCAGGAGGGGCUUUCCAAGGGGCACGAGGAAGCGUGGGGGAUAAACGUGUCAUCCUCCCGAUUGUAGCGGUGGUUUCAUGGUUGUAAACAGCUGUCAAAACUCAUCAACUGCACAUUUUAAAUAGGCGCAGUUUAUAGUAGAUCCGUUAUACUGCAGUAAAGCUCUUUAGCAAAAAAACCAAAAAAACCAAAACCUACAUGGAAAAUGUGUUCCCAGAAUAACUAACUCUGGAGGCUUUGAUGCUAGGAGAAAAGUUCAGGACACUCCCUUAACUCCUGGAAUUCUCAGAACUAAUUUAGGUCUUUUUUUGGGGGGCGGGGGGCGUCCAUCUGAUUGAGCUAAACUGAGAAGGGAGUUCAUUAACUGUAACCCACUCCAGUCGGAAUCCUUUCUCUUUCACAUAGAGCUGCUGGAGGAACGGGUCACCCCGCUUCCCAGCCCUUCAGAUCCAGGAGCGCAUGUAAGUGCCUACACUGGCCAUUAGGUGGCACUGUUGUACACAACAUGUACCGACCUGGGCUUCCGGUUGCCAGCUCUCCAAGUUUAUGUGCCCUUGGCUUUCUGCACCAAGGGUUCUCCGAACGCUUUGUCUACAUCUAUGGAGAUAAUCACAUCUCCCCCCUUUAAUCUGCUAACGUGCAUUUCUUUUCUAAGUUUUGAAUGGUGAGCCAUCUUUGCAGAUGGGAAAAGCCAGGUAAGUUUCCCCAUUAGUGCUCACUAAUGGAAGUUUCUGUCAGGAUGGACACGUUCUACUUUGUCCAAGAGAGAGCUCCCUGCACAGAUGUGGCCAUGGAGCCUUUGAAAUGUGGCCAGUGUGACUGAGGCACUGAACUUCACACUUCACUUUACUGAAUGAUGAACGUGGACAGCCGCAUGUGGCUCGUGGUCGCCGUCUGCAAAGAGUCCGGCUGGGAGCCUGGUGCGGGCCUGCCUGUGAGGUUGCUUGGCGUUUAUAUCCUCUCCUCUCCUCACGGAAGGGGCUCUUCAGGAAAUGUGAUACAGAAUGCAAGACGAUUGCUUUCCCUGGGAAAAUACAAAAAUGCCACUGAAGCCGAACCCAGAGAUGAUGCGGUGAAUAAAUCACACGACGGCCGCCGUCCCAGGCUUUCCCGCCCCACACGCCUUCUCUUAAGCAGGGGAGUCGUACUCCACCUCACUGCACCCCAACACUGCUCACGCCUGCAUGCAUUUUCACCCUUUCAGAAUUUACUCAAAGUGGAAUUACUGGAAGCAAGCAAAGAAAUAUUUGAUAUUUUAAGGCCUCCGCAGCCUAUUGCCAAAUUGCUUUCCAAAAAGGCAUGUAAAUUUAUACCCUGCACUUUAUCACCUACCCACCAGCAGGAAUUCAUUAAAAACGAAACCCCACACCACCCUCAGCAGCGCCACACCAGCGAUUUGGUAGGAGGGCCGCUGAAACGUCACAUCUCUGAUGAACGUUUUUCCACGUGUUUGCUAACACACUUGUUCUUCUCCGGUGAAUUGUCUGUGCGAACAUUUUACCUGCUUGGUUAGCAAGGUCUUAGUGCUUCUUAUUUAUUCACUGUAAGCACCCUGUACGUGCUGAAAACCGUAUUCUUCUGUCUUUUUUAUUUGUUGUGAACAUUCCCUCUGUUUGUUUUAUGGAAUGUGGCUGAUCUGAUAGACACACAUUUCAGAUUCUCCUUGUCCUGCCCUCUGUCCGGCUCGGCCUGUCUGUGAAGCCGGGCCACCCUUCUCCCUCUUCCCUUUCCCUGGGCGAUGCUGCCUCUGGCUUGACUCAUCACUGACAGCGCUCAGGGUCAGCGGGAACACCCUCAGGGCCAGCGCCCUCUGACAGCCCUGCUUGGAUGACUCACGGUGCCUGGGACUCAACACGCCCCAACCUGAUGGCAUGAAUUUCCUCCAACCCCUUCUAUCCGUGCGUCUCCUCCAUCCACCUGGCGGCCCUGCCCUCUCCACUUGAAAAUCUCAAAUAUCCAUUUUGCUCCCUGCCAGCCCUCUCCUCAUCACUGUGAUCCUCCUGAGGACCUGUCUCCUGGGUUUCAGAUCUUCUCCCCUCAGCCCCAUAUUUUCCCAAUAAAAAAUUUUAAACAUA